ensembl:lncRNA
CUUUGCGAAUGGAUUCGAAUGAGUCAUCACAAAGAUUCAGUUCAUAAGAUAGAUUCGUUCGCGAAUCAGACGUCACACGUGAUGUCACCACGCUCGCUCUUCUUCGAUGGUUUGCGGCAGCGCUAUAAAUGCUGGCGCGCUACUGUGCGCGCUCUCUCAGUUCUGCGAUGGUUCAGCGGGAGUGCGCUAGAGCUUACAAAAAUGAGAAAGUCAGGCGGUUACAAGAAGGAGGCUGAAUGUGCUCUGGAUUUACUCCAGAUGAGGACUCUCCAGCUGCUGUAGCUCCGAUGUCACACAAGACCCCAAAAUGCCUCGAUCCCAACGGCCAGUACUGCUGAGGAUGAGGUAAAUAAGAUUGAGAAUUUGAAAGGUCCAUCGAGAUCAUCCUAUUGUGGGAAACAUGUGUGAAGAUCUUCAGAAAUCACGUUUUCUGUUCCAGCUUUUUUUUAAAUGUUAAAAGGGAUCAGUGCUCACUGUUAACAUUAUACAUAAAUGUAUUGUACAUGGUUACAAAUAUAAAAUCUUCCUUUAGUGGAGAUUCCUAGAACAGGGUUCUUCUUUUGUUCCUAGAGAGCCACUUUCCUAAAAUUAAUUUUUAUCAGAUUGGCGCUUAGUCAUCAUGGGAAUGACAUGCAGAUUGACAUAAAAAUAUCAAGGAUUUUUGCAUAAGGCUGCAACAAAAUGUGGAAAAUUAAGAGGUUUUGAAUGCACUGUUUAGGAUGUGUCCAUUCCUGCUUCUGGAGUGCCACUUUCAGCAGUUUAGCCCUAGCCCCAGUUAAACAUGCCUGAAUAAAGGUGUUCUGGAUCACUGGUCUUUCAAGCGUCUUUGGACCGCUCUUCUCUAGCAUUGUUUAAACAUGAGGCUGCUAUACGAAGACAAUGAAUGAGAUGUCUGAAAUGGUACAAUGUUUGAGUUGUCAGUUCUGUUAUUGUUUUUAAACACUGGACAAUAAAAAUGUAUGGAAGUGUUAAUUUGUCUGAAUACUUGAAACAAAGUUUUAAAACUUGCCCUGAGGUCUAGGUUUUUAAAUGAACCCACUAAAAAGCACUACCUGGGCCUCUCCUGUAUCAUCUUGUCUGCCAGGCCUCAGGUUUGAGGAAGAAUGAAGUGAAUACUGAGAGGAUGUCUCCCUCUACUGGAUUUACAACGUAACAAAAGGACAGUGGGAGAGGAUGGUUAUGCAUUUGUUCAUAUUUGAUCUGCUUUAGUCACUGUUUUGUGUAAUAUGGUUUUCACCUAAUGAUUGUCUCUGGACAAUGAGUUCUUAGCUGACUGUAUGUACACAAUAUGCCUGGUGUUUGAUCAGCUGUGCUGUAACUUGUAUUUAACCCUAUAAACUCUAAAAGUAGAUCAGUCCAAAAAUUAAAGUUUUAUUUUCUUUAUUAUUAUUAAACGUAGUGAAGCCUCUCCUUUCACGUCCAUUAAAAAAGGCUGCUUGAUUCCUCCCUGUGUACUGCCUGUAUAGGUCUUUGUAUUGAAUAAUAAAUGUCCUUCUUGAGACAUCUUUACACAGCUAAGUUAAGGCUGCUUUGUGCCUGCUCAGAGUUCUGUGUAAUGCUGCAUUAAAGCCAGACUGAUUUAAGGCUGCUCUGACCCACCUCGGUCCCGAGUGUCAAAACAUACAGUUGUGUUUGAUGUGUAAAGGCAUUUAUGAUACCUCUGAGCAACAUUAAACUGUAAAAACAUCUAAAUGCCACUGCAAAGCUGCUUGUAUGCCGCCUGGGAAGUGUAAAUUUGGCAUGCCUUAAAGUGGCUUUGAGUUGGAGGAAGUGGUGUGGUCACAUGCAUCUGAGUCUCGGGGAAACUUUUUUUAUGUAACCGACUUUUUUUUUUAAUGAUGAGAUAAAAAUGGUGCAGGAUUUGUUUUUAUUGAAUAUCUCAGAAGGAGAUGUGGAUGUAUUAAUAUCUAACACGUAUACACAAAAAAUAUAUAACUAUUACCUAAGCUUCUCUUAAGAAGCAGCUGUUUUACUCAGAUGGAUCUUUUUACUCAAGAUCAAGUUUCCACUCAGUCGGUGGCUCAGGGAGGUUUUUAAUAAUAUACCCAUGGAAUGAGCUUUAUAAAGGGAAGUGAGAGCACUUGUGUUAAGCUUUGUCCCAGCUAACAUUGCAAUUUCUUGAAGAAAUGUUUUUCUACAUCCUCUUGGAGCACUUCAGGGGGCUCCCAUCUUGGCUAAUACUUCAUAGUCAGGGCUAAUUAGUGAUUGUAGAUGAAUAAUGCUGUACUUUUUUAGUAUUGUGUUAUAGCAUGUAUGUUCUGUCCCUGUUUGUUCCUUUUUUUGUUUAUUGUAAAAUCAAAUAAAAAAAUAAAUAAAAAAAUACAAAUAAAUGCCAAUGGGAAAAAAUUGGCUUAUAAUUGGAGAAUUUAUAAAGAAUAAAGAAGUCUCU